GCCCUCGUGGCCUAAUGGCUAAGGCGUCAGACUUCUAAGAAAAAGUCAUCUGAAGAUUGCAAGUUCGAGUCUUGCCGGGGGCU